GUGAGGAAUUUUCCGCAAUGGGCGAAAGCCUGACGGAGCAAUGCCGCGUGAAGGAUGAAGGCCUAUGGGUUGUAAACUUCUUUUCUCAGAAAAGAAUUAUGACGGUAUCUGAGGAAUAAGCAUCGGCUAACUCUGUGCCAGCAGCCGCGGUAAGACAGAGGAUGCAAGCGUUAUCCGGAAUGAUUGGGCGUAAAGCGUCUGUAGGUUGUUUAAAAAGUAUUCUGUCAAAGAUUAGGCCUUAACCCUAGAUAGGCAGAAUAAACUUUUAAGAUAGAGGUUGGUAGAGGCAGAGGGAAUGCCCGGUGGAGCGGUGAAAUGCGUAGAUAUCGGGAGGAACACCAAAGGCGAAGGCACUCUGCUGGGCCAAUACUAACACUGAGAGACGAAAGCGAGGGGAGCAAAUGGGAUUAGAAACCCUUGUAGUCC
rnacentral:rRNA from 1 species